rnacentral:rRNA from 1 species
GACGAACGCUGGCGGCGUGCUUAACACAUGCAAGUCGUACGGUAAGGCCCUUUCGGGGGUACACGAGUGGCGAACGGGCGAGUAACACGUGAGUAACCUGCCUACAACGUUGGGAUAACGCUAGGAAACUGGCGCUAAUACUGGAUAUGUGCUCCUGCUGCAUGGUGGGGGUUGGAAAGCUCCUGCGGUUGUGGAUGGACUCGCGGCCUAUCAGCUUGUUGGUGGGGUAGUGGCCUACCAAGGCGGCGACGGGUAGCCGGCCUGAGAGGGUGACCGGCCCCAUUGGGACUGAGAUACGGCCCAGCCUCCUACCGGAGGCAGCCGUGGGGAAUAUUGCACCAUGGGCGCCAGCCUGAUGCAGCCACGCCGCGUGCGGGAUGACGGCCUUCGGGUUGUAAACCGCUUUCAGCAGGGACGAAGCUUUUUGUGACGGUACCUGCAGAAGAAGCACCGGCUAACUACGUG